AAUAAGUACAGUUUUGCACUAUUCACGUUUAAUGUUUGACUGUUCGUCUUAUUUGAAAAUUUUUUAUGAUUAGUAUUUUUAUUGCUAUUAGAUGAUAAAACAUGAAUAGUACUCUAUGUGUGACUAAAUAUCUUUAAAUUUGGUCAAACGUUGUGCACGGAUAUUCACGGCUGCACUUAUU
rnacentral:pre_miRNA from 1 species